rnacentral:rRNA from 1 species
UACGUAGGGUGCAAGCGUUGUCCGGAAUUAUUGGGCGUAAAGAGCUCGUAGGCGGUCUGUCGCGUCGGCUGUGAAACCCGGAGCUCAACUCCGGGCCUGCAGUCGAUACGGGCAGACUGGAGUUCGGCAGGGGAGACUGGAAUUCCUGGUGUAGCGGUGAAAUGCGCAGAUAUCAGGAGGAACACCGGUGGCGAAGGCGGGUCUCGUAGGCCGAUGACUGACGCUGAGGAGCGAAAGCGUGGGGAGCGAACAGG